rnacentral:rRNA from 1 species
UACGAAGGGGGCUAGCGUUGCUCGGAAUCACUGGGCGUAAAGGGUGCGUAGGCGGGUUUUUAAGUCAGAGGUGAAAUCCUGGAGCUCAACUCCAGAACUGCCUUUGAUACUGAAAGUCUUUGAGUAUGGGAGAGGUGAGUGGAACUGCGAGUGUAGAGGUGAAAUUCGUAGAUAUUCGCAAGAACACCAGUGGCGAAGGCGGCUCACUGGCCCAUUACUGACGCUGAGGCGCGACAGCGUGGGGGAGCAAACGAG